AGAGUCCCGUCUGGUAGGGGUAUGUAGAAGAGGUAAUUCUUGGUCCGCCAGGGCCAGUUUUGCGGCAGCCAUGGGUGUCGGGAUCAGGCAGGGGUGUGGUGGGAAACCAUGGGGUCUCUCAGGGCUCGGCCAGGGUCAGCGCACGCCACAGGGCCAGUUUUGGCUGGAGAGGCCUGAAGCAGAGCCAGAGCAGGUCCAGGUGAGUUCUGAAGAGGAGCCAGGACAGGAGAGGGACCCAUAGGUCUGUGAAUUCCAGAGGAGAGACGGGGUUUCACCGUGUUAGCCAGGAUGGUCUUGAUCUCCUGACCUCAUGAUCCGCCUGCUUUGGCCUCCCAAAGUGCUGGGAUUACAGGCGUGAGUCACCGCGCCCGGCUCAUUUUAAAAUUUUUGUAGAUCAGUGUACUGUUGUAAAAAAAAAAAAAUAA
rnacentral:lncRNA from 10 species